rnacentral:rRNA from 1 species
AAUAGAUACCCGGGUAGUCCACGCCGUAAACGUUGGGCGCUAGAUGUGGGGACCAUUCCACGGUUUCCGUGUCGCAGCUAACGCAUUAAGCGCCCCGCCUGGGGAGUACGGCCGCAAGGCUAAAACUCAAAGGAAUUGACGGGGGCCCGCACAAGCGGCGGAGCAUGCGGAUUAAUUCGAUGCAACGCGAAGAACCUUACCAAGGCUUGACAUAUACGAGAAUGGGCCAGAAAUGGUCAGCUCUUUGGACACUCGUAUACAGGUGGUGCAUGGUUGUCGUCAGCUCGUGUCGUGAGAUGUUGGGUUAAGUCCCGCAACGAGCGCAACCCUCGUUCUAUGUUGCCAGCACGUAAUGGUGGGAACUCAUAGGAGACUGCCGGGGUCAACUCGGAGGAAGGUGGGGAUGACGUCAAAUCAUCAUGCCCCUUAUGUCUUGGGCUUCACGCAUGCUACAAUGGCCGGUACAAAGGGCUGCAAUACCGCAAGGUGGAGCGAAUCCCAAAAACGCCGGUCUCAGUUCGGA